UUCUACUUCUGCAUUAGACUUUUUAUGCUUUAGUUUUCUUAUAGAAUAUAUUUUUCUUUGUUGGACUUCAUCUGAGUACUAAAGAGCUAAAAAGCUAAAAAGCUUAUUGAAUAGAGCAUACACAAAGAAAAUAAAUAUGUAUACUGAAUAAUUAAGCAAAAGACUGGAUGUUUUUUCCUUCCAAAGUAGCUCUCCCCUCUCAUUAUAGCUGUUGAAUUAGUCAUCAGCCAAUUCUUUUAAAAAUAAUGUAUAUAAUUAUAGUUGUCAACAUAGUUGGUUUAGUAUUGUGAAGAGGAUAGUUGCUUGGCUACCUAAGAACUAGUUUUAGAACUUAGAAAUGAGAAUCAUUAUU
rnacentral:lncRNA from 1 species